rnacentral:Y_RNA from 1 species
GGUUGGUCUGAGCACAGUUUCACUACUAGUCAGAGAUUUCAUUGUUCCCUCUCUACUUCCACGGCUUCACUUGACUAGCCUUAC